UCUGAAAAAAGGUAAACCUACUGUAAAGUAGCGACACAAAGCCAACGGGUCCUGAUCAAUAGGAUGGCCGGGUUGCCAGA
rnacentral:ncRNA from 1 species